rnacentral:lncRNA from 1 species
UUGUUGAUGCACAAAACCGGAGGUCUUGGAACAACGUAAAUCCGACCGUGAAUCUGCAUGAAAUGUAAAUGACACAAAGAACACAAGGAUUUUAUCGUGGUUCACCCCAAGGUUUGGGCUACGUCCACACUGAUUGUAUUGUAUUUCUCUGUUGAAGAGGAAGAGAGAGCUUAGAGCUUAGGGGAUGUGAGGAAGCUUUGAGAGGGAUGAGGAGAGACCUAGGAAUUGGCCUCUGAGGAUGAGAGUGAGGCUCCUCCUAGAAUGAGGGUAGGAGUCCCCUUUUAUAGAAUAAGGGGCUCCUCCUCUAUUACAUAUUUGCCCCUUCCUUUAUCCCAUAAUUACAUUUAAGUCCCCUGAGUAUUUGUACGAGAUCUAAAUACGAGGCCCUAAAUAUGGUAUAAACAGUAGUCCCCCAAGUCUUCAGUCAAGAGAGUCUUUUUGGCUGGAGACUUGAAAUUCAGUCCAUGUGUGGGCCGAAGUAACUAGAUGUCGUCUAGAACUAAUGCUUGAUAUGAGGCGGUGCCCAAUCUGAAAUGAUGCUCAACUAGAAGUAGCACAUGUUGCGAGGCCGCUCUGCUUGUAGCUUGUGUUGCCUUGGUUGGCUCGGCUUGUGGCGUUUGAAGGUGAGGGAGUCCCUUUUAUAGAAUAAGGGCUCGUUCCUCAAUACAUAAAUGAUGGGCUAGAGUUGAUGCUCGCGGCGAGGCGGUUGCUCAGCUGGCGGCGUUUCUCUCUAAUGAAGGUGAGGGAGUCCCUUUUAUAGAAUAAGGGCUCACUCCUCAAUACAUAAGUGAUGGGCUAGAGUCCCCCAAGUAUUUUUUAUGAGGCCCAGUUGAGGCCUAAUAUAUGGUACAUAAUGUAGUCCCCCAAGUCUUCGGUCAAUAGAGUCUGUUGGCUGGAGACUUCAAAUUGAAUCCAUGUAUGGGCCGAAGUGGCGGUUGUUCGGAUGUGGUAUUUGUAUACCAUGCACUGAAGCUUUGUAAGUGAAGCUUUGCAAGUGAAGCUUUGAAGCUAGAGCUCUGUAAAUGAAGCUUUUGAAGCUGAUUGACAUGAGUGAUGCUCAUGAAUGUUUAUGUUGAUUGACAUGAGUGAUGCUCAUGGAUGUUGUCAUGAGUUAUGCUCAUGAAUGUUAACAUGAGUGAUGCUCAUGAAUGUUGACAUGAAUGAUGGUCAUGAAUGUUUAUGUAUGAUUGUCAUGAGUGAUGCUCAUGAAUGUUUAUGUAUGAAUUACAUGAGUAGUGCUCAUGUAUGAUUUGGAGUACUAGGCGUACUUUUGAUCACCUGGUUGGUGUUAUUUUGGGCUUAUGGGCCUUCGCCCUCCACAACAUUCCAGCCCAUUAAUUUUGGGCUUUGCCGUUUUUUUUUUUUUUUUUUUUUUUUUUUUUUUUUGUAUUAUUACCCUCUGAUAGGGUUUAUACAGAUGUUUAUAUCAUUCUGGUGGAAUGUUUAUUCCUUACUUUUGUUUUUCUCUUUCUUUUCUACUUUUGUAAUUAUCUCAGUGGGUAGCCAUAUUUUCUGCUUUGCUCUUUUCCACCGCAAAUCUCAUGUUGAAAGGGUAGCCAUGCUUUCUGCCUUGCUCUUUUCCACCGCAAAUCUCAUGUUGAAAGGGUAGCCAUGCUUUCUGCUUUGCUCUUUUACUUUGCUUUGCUUUUACUUUCCCUUUUCUUUCUCUUUUCCUUGCGCUGCAUUUAUUAUUCUCUUGCUCUUGCUGAGGUCCAGGUGCAUUAGCCUUUGCAGAUGGCAGACAAAAGUAAAGUGAAGUGCUCUUUACUUUGCUUUACUUUUGCAGAUUGCAAAUGGCGGAGGCAUAGACUUGUCUUUACAGCAUCUUCUGGAAAGUCAAAAAGCAGCUUUUAAGGCCACUAGCAGCAAUAGCCAUCAUUUCUCCUUUUUCCUUUUCUCUGCUGGUUUAUUGAAUCUCUUCUCACGCCGGUCGCAUGCGCCCCGUCCAUCCGAGAACUUACCACCCUGACUUUUUGAUGAAAUGAUGCCCAUAAAUCAUAGUGUAAUCUGUUUUCUCUAGAAUCGCCAUAGCUGCAUUCUUAUACUCCUUGAACAAAGAGACCGAAGGGAACCUCCCGGAUAUGCUAUGAGCAGCUAUAGAGCUAUCAUCCCUCUCCUCCCUCUGCGCCUGGCUCAAAGGGCUCGCAAAAUUUUCGAUCCCCGGUGACAAGUACGUUUCCGGCAACGAAUAAAACGGCGUCGUAAGAGUGGUAGGCGUCGUGCGCUGCACAUCUACGACAAGAGGACUAGUGUCGUUCAUUUCGGAAGAAGAGAGAAACUCGCGAUCUUGCUCGGGGAACGAAACGCCCAGGGUUCCUCGAUGACCACGCCCUCUGAUGCGGAUGACUUGGAGUCAGAGUCGGCCGAGGAGAGUCGGGGGAUGAGCAGAGAACCGUCAGACCAAGAAUUGGGCUGAAGAUGGGCAGAGAAGCAGUGCAGAAAUAUCUGGAAUCACGGUGGUCCUCAUCGUCGGAGUCGGGGUUGACGAUCCAGAAAUAUCUGAGAACUUCAAACACUACAAAAAUGGCAGCAGCUAAUUUCCCAGCGUUUGGCUACUGAGAAGGUAGCAGAUCACAAAAAAGGGGAAAAAUCCAGUAGAGCUUAUUCGAUCUGGAGCCGAGUAGCGUCAAGUAUCGAAAGUUUUACUGCUUCUUCUCUGACUCUCAGCCGUUCGAGUCGGUGAUGUGAUCCUCCCGGCUUUCAACAGUUCCUAUGAAUUUUGAAAAUUUGAAAUCCGAUCUUUCUCGGAAAGAUCAGAAAAGUGAACUUUCUGGGAGAAAUUGGGAAAUGAAAUUGUUUGAUCUCUCACAAUUCCGCACAAAGCUGUUUGGGAUCACCUUCAAGAUUAAGACUAGCUGAGUAGCGAUCCUCCAUCACCUCUCUCCAACCUGUCGUCGACGGCGUCGGCGGAGCAGACCCAAAUCCCGGGGACACCACCGGAAUACAAAGCUUCGCCGGCCUCGUCCUCCUCAUUCUCUUUAACAGAAAUAAACGCAGCAGCGCCAACCUUAGAGAACAAAACGUAAUUUUUUCGUCCCAGCCUGCCGUCGUUCCCACACUUGGCAGCGCCAAACCCUCGCCUACCCCAGCCUGAUCUUCUUCCGAGUUCCUUCUGAGUUGACCCGUUCUGUAUCAAUCGAGCCGUUCGAUUUCGCCGCCCUUUCGUGUUGCUUUUCUUGCCGGAGCCCCGUAUCAAUCCAGGCAGUCGGACCUGGCGAGGUUCUCUGACCUGGUCGACCCGCCUGAGUCGUGCGCUGGGUGUCUGUACAAGUCACCAGGUCGGGAUCCUGUCACUGCCGAGCUCCUAUUGCAGAGGCCGACGUUGAGUUCCUCCAUCAUUUAACCAAUCCAAGCCUUGAGCUCCAUCACGUCAUUGAUCAAGGUAGAGAGACAAGACAGAGAUGAGAGAUUUGAUUCCCUGAAUCUGCCUUGCUAGAUUUGGCAGAACCAGUGCCUUUCUUGCCGGAGAUGGAGUCGUCGGAAGAGAUCAGGCGGUGCUUGUAGAUGCGGUUGGUGGGUUCCAGGAUCCGUACCCGGGAUAGAUUGGGUCGGAGCAGGUCCAUGAGGUCGAGCGUCGCUCUUUGUGCAGAAAGAAAGGGUUUUGAGAUUGGAUAGGCAAGACGAGAGAGGUGAAUUUUUCUGGUCUUCUUCGUCUUGUCUCGACUCUACUGGAGUGAUGAGAGAGAAUGAGAGAGUGUGUCUUGGCAUGCCCAAUGGGCUGUUUCUAAAACUUGUUUUUGAAUGUGGUUUUGGAAAUGGAUUUUUGGGCCAUUUCUGGGUUUCUAGAGAGAGAGAGAUGGGCUGAGAUUUUGGUUUAGUGUUUCUGCAGAAUCACGGCAGAGGUGAAAAAAAAUGAAAGAGAACCGACAUAGUUUUUUGUAUCGAUUCCCACAGACGGCGCCAAAUGUUGAUGCACAAAACCGGAGGUCUUGGAACAACGUAAAUCCGACCGUGAAUCUGCAUGAAAUGUAAAUGACACAAAGAACACAAGGAUUUUAUCGUGGUUCACCCCAAGGUUUGGGCUACGUCCACACUGAUUGUAUUGUAUUUCUCUGUUGAAGAGGAAGAGAGAGCUUAGAGCUUAGGGGAUGUGAGGAAGCUUUGAGAGGGAUGAGGAGAGACCUAGGAAUUGGCCUCUGAGGAUGAGAGUGAGGCUCC